AAUGGCUUGAAAACGGGUGGC
rnacentral:miRNA from 1 species